AGAGAAUAGAUACCCAGGUAGUCCACGCCGUAAACGAUGAAUACUAGGUGUAGGGGUUGUCAUGACCUCUGUGCCGCCGCUAACGCAUUAAGUAUUCCGCCUGGGGAGUACGGUCGCAAGAUUAAAACUCAAAGGAAUUGACGGGGGCCCGCACAAGCAGCGGAGCAUGUGGUUUAAUUCGAAGCAACGCGAAGAACCUUACCUAGACUUGACAUCUCCUGAAUUACUCUGUAAUGGAGGAAGCCACUUCGGUGGCAGGAAGACAGGUGGUGCAUGGUUGUCGUCAGCUCGUGUCGUGAGAUGUUGGGUUAAGUCCCGCAACGAGCGCAACCCUUAUUGUUAGUUGCUACCAUUUAGUUGAGCACUCUAGCGAGACUGCCCGGGUUAACCGGGUAGGAAGGUGGGGAUGACGUCAAAUCAUCAUGCCCCUUAUGUCUAGGGCUACACACGUGCUACAAUGGUCGGUACAAUGAGAUGCAACCUCGCGAGAGUGAGCAGAACUAUAAAACCCGAUCUCAGUUCGGAUUGUA
rnacentral:rRNA from 1 species